AACGCUAUUGAAGUACAUUCUAAAAUGAUCCCACCUGCAAUUUGGAUUUUUGGAGAAUCGGGAUCGGUGUAAAAUUCUACAUGCACACAUGUUUUUGCACGAGAAUAUAGCAACGUGGUUUUUAAUAGGAAACUAUCUAAAUGUCCAUUACAAGUGAAUUACAUAAAGCUCAAUACAUCCAUACUACGAAUCACCGAAGAGCUGCUAAAAUAGAUGAAAUAUAUUUAUAAUGGCAUGAACAACCGACACAAGACAGUUGCAGAGUAAUGUGUAUUUGUGAUUAUAUUUAUGUUUUUAAGUUAUACAAACGCGUAUGUGCCUAUAUGUAUGUAAAUUCGUAGGAAGACAGAGGACGGUGGUUACCUGGGGAAAAGCAUGUGUUGUCCUAGGGUAUAGCUUUGCAGGGGAGCUUGGCAGGGCCUGCCAAACCUGAUCAGCUUUUCCACCUCUCAGCUACUGCUUUCGGCUCCCCAGCCUCAUAAACUCUCAGCUGCCACAUUACAAAUCAGCAGAUGUCUUAAGGUGAAAUGUGGUGCUAAAUGUCAAGCUCAACUUUUUGGAUCAUCUCUCCUGAAUUUCAGUUCCUCGAAUCCUCACUGUCCUGGGCCUCCAAUGCCUUCAAAAAGGAUUUU
rnacentral:antisense_RNA from 1 species